rnacentral:rRNA from 1 species
GAUGAACGCUGGCGGCGUGCCUAAUACAUGCAAGUCGAGCGAACAGACGAGGAGCUUGCUCCUCUGACGUUAGCGGCGGACGGGUGAGUAACACGUGGAUAACCUACCUAUAAGACUGGGAUAACUUCGGGAAACCGGAGCUAAUACCGGAUAAUAUAUUGAACCGCAUGGUUCAAUAGUGAAAGACGGUUUUGCUGUCACUUAUAGAUGGAUCCGCGCCGCAUUAGCUAGUUGGUAAGGUAACGGCUUACCAAGGCAACGAUGCGUAGCCGACCUGAGAGGGUGAUCGGCCACACUGGAACUGAGACACGGUCCAGACUCCUACGGGAGGCAGCAGUAGGGAAUCUUCCGCAAUGGGCGAAAGCCUGACGGAGCAACGCCGCGUGAGUGAUGAAGGUCCUCGGAUCGUAAAACUCUGUUAUUAGGGAAGAACAAAUGUGUAAGUAACUAUGCACGUCUUGACGGUACCUAAUCAGAAAGCCACGGCCAACUACGUG